rnacentral:pre_miRNA from 1 species
UUGGUUUGUCUGAAGUUAAACUUGCUAAACUUUAACCAUAUUUACAGAAAAAUAUAAUAACAACCAUGCUACCAAACAUAUGCACUAUCAAAAUAUAUUCUAUGGUAGGUUCAAUGAAACAAAUUUGGUAUUAUAAAUAUUGUUAUAUUUUUCUAUAAAUAUGGUCAAAUUUUAGCAAGUUUGACUUCAGACAAACUAAA